UACGGGGGGUGCGAGCGUUGUCCGGAAUCACUGGGCGUAAAGGGCGCGUAGGUGGUUUGAUAAGGGUGUGGUGAAAGCCCGGAGCUCAACUCCGGGUCUGCCGUGCCGACUGUCAAACUCGAGGGCUGUAGAGGCAGACGGAAUUCCGGGUGUAGCGGUGGAAUGCGUAGAGAUCUGGAGGAACACCGGUGGCGAAGGCGGCAUCCUGGACCAACACUGACGCUGAGUGAGCGAAAGCCAGGGGAGCAAACGGG
rnacentral:rRNA from 1 species